rnacentral:rRNA from 1 species
UACGUAGUGGGCUAGCGUUGUCCGGAUUUAUUGGGCGUAAAGAGCGUGUAGGCGGCCAGGUAGGUCCGGUGUGAAAACUCGAGGCUUAACCUCGAGAUGUCAUCGGAAACCAUCUGGCUAGAGUCCGGAAGAGGAAAGUGGAAUUCCUGGUGUAGCGGUGAAAUGCGCAGAUAUCAGGAAGAACACCAAUGGCGAAAGCAGCUUUCUGGGACGGUACCGACGCUGAGACGCGAAAGCGUGGGGAGCGAACAGG